rnacentral:rRNA from 1 species
UACGUAGGGUGCAAGCGUUAUCCGGAUUUACUGGGCUUAAAGGGUGCGUAGGCGGGUUGGUAAGUCAGUGGUGAAAUCUCCGAGCUUAACUUGGAAACUGCCAUUGGUACUAUUAGUCUUGAAUACUGUGGAGGUUAGCGGAAUAUGUCAUGUAGCGGUGAAAUGCGUAGAUAUGACAUAGAACACCAAUUGCGAAGGCAGCUGGCUACACAAAUAUUGACGCUGAGGCGCGAAAGCGUGGGGAUCAAACAGG